rnacentral:rRNA from 1 species
GGCAAUGCCAUAUUUCCUUCGGGACAUCCGAGACAGGUGGUGCAUGGUUGUCGUCAGCUCGUGUCGUGAGAUGUUGGGUUAAGUCCCGCAACGAGCGCAACCCCUGCCUUCUGUAGCCAGCAUUCAGGAUGGGAACUCAGGAGGGACUGCCCGGGAGAACCGGGAGGAAGGCGGGGAUGACGUCAAAUCAUCAUGCCCCUUAUGGCCUGGGCUACACACGUGCUACAAUGGCGUAAACAAAGGGAAGCGAGCCUGCGAGGGUAAGCGAAUCCCAAAAAUAACGUCCCAGUUCGGAUUGCAGUCUGCAACUCGAGUGCAUGAAGCUGGAAUCGCUAGUAAUCGCGGAUCAGAAUGCCGCGGUGAAUACGUUCCCGGGUCUUGUACACACCGCCCGUCACACCAUGGGAGUCGGGAAUGCCCGAAGCCGGUGGCCCGAUCGAAAGAAGGGAGCCGUCGAAGGCAGGCCGGAUGACUGGGGUGAAGUCGUAACAAGGUAGCCGUAUCGGAAGGUGC